GACGAACGCUGGAGGCGUGCUUAACACAUGCAAGUCGAACGAUGAAAUGGAGCUUGCUCCAUGGAUUAGUGGCGAACGGGUGAGUAACACGUGAAUAACCUGCCCUUAAUUUUGGAAUAACCCAGGGAAACCUGGGCUAAUACCGGAUAAGUAAACCUGUGGCAUCACAUGGUUUUGGAAAGUUUUUCGAUUAAGGAUGGAUUCGCGGCCUAUCAGCUUGUUGGUGAGGUAAUGGCUCACCAAGGCGACGACGGGUAGCCGGCCUGAGAGGGGGAACGGCCACACUGGGAAUUAGACACGGCCCAGACUCCCACGGGAGGCAGCAGGGGGGAAUAUUGCGCAAUGGACGAAAGUCUGACGCAGCGACGCCUCGUGAGGGACGAAGGUCUUCGGAUUGUAAACCUCUUUCAGCAGGGACGAAGCGAAAGUGACGGUACCUGCAGAAGAAGCACCGGCUAACUAUGUGCCAGCAGCCGCGGUAA
rnacentral:rRNA from 1 species